GAAGCACCUCCUCGGGCCUCUUGGAAAGCUCACUCUUGGAAGACUCUUUCUAAGAACCCAGCUGCCAUGCUGAGAGAAACUCAAGCCACCCGGAUAUGGGCCACCUGGAGAUACUCCUAGACGGACCCAGGCGAGCUCACAGCCAGCCGCCAGCAUCACCAGCAUGUCUGGGGAGGAGCACCUUUCCAUCUGGUCCAGGCCAGGCUUCACAGGACUCCAACUGUCAUCUGACUACACCCAGAACAGAGAGUAUGCCAGUGGGGCAUAAUAAUGUCAAGACUCAAGUGAGAAGUUUGGAAAAACUGCUACAAGAACUUUAACAGCAACAAGAAGAAUAUCUGCUAUCUAUUGAGCACCUGUGAGCAUUAAUUGUGCAGGUGUUCCAUGAGGUACUUAUGCAUGUUAAUUCAUUUCCAUCUCACUUUGAUCCCAUGAGAUAAAUACUAUUACUGGCUUCAGUUCCCAGAUGAGAAAAUGUAGGCAGUGUUAUAUAACAUCAAGUCUCACUCCUGACAAGGCCACAACAGAAAUCCAGCACAAGUGAUAGAGCCUAGGACUGAAAGGGCACCCCAAUAUUCGGGACCAUCAGUACAGGAAAGUGGAGACACUAUCCUGUCAAAGGAGACGUGAGUCUUCUUCCCAGAUGUCAGGAUUCUAGCCAUGUGGUAAGAUUUCAUGAGCAAGACACAAAUACUCUGGAAAAGAUCCUGGCUCCAGGAGGGACAUGGGGUGUCUAGGAAAGUCAUUCAGAUGAGAACAGGAAGAAGAGCGAAGUGGACACCCAAAUGCAAACAGGAUGGACCUAAAUAUGUCCUCUGGGAAAAGGAGGGAGAAAGAGUGAUUGUUUGGGAGACUGCAGGCCAAGAACCAGGACUUGAAAGUGCUUCACAUUUAGUCAACUUCAGCUUCAAGCUGAUCCUGGAACUGGGGAAAGGACUAACUUACAAGAUUGGAAGGAAGAAGCAAUAGUUGCGAAGAAUGACAAGCAACAGAGACCAGGGAAUCGAUUAGGCAAGAAACUGAUCCUAAUGUAAUACAUUUUAUGAAUGGGAUCUUCCCAACCCAGGGAUCGAGCCCACGUCUUCUGCAUUGGCAGGCAGGUUCUCUACCACUGAGCCACGAGGAAAGCCCUUGUGUUACAGCAGCCCUUUACCUCCUGAGAGGAGCGCUCCGGGAGAGCAGUGUAUCCCUAGCUCCAGAACCAGCAAUUAGGAGUUGCCAAAAUCUCUUAACUUCACACAAUAGUGCAGCCUCACUGACUUCAUGCUCAUCUGCAGAACAUACAGGAUGGAAGCAAAAAUGGCGAUGGAGAGGGUCGCACCUUGAGGAGUGUGGCAUUUUAUUUCCCCAAACAAGGAUGAAAUCCACACACUCUACAUUGGCAGAAUGGAGUUUUAACUACUAGACUGACAGUGAAGAAUUGGAAUGGGG
ensembl:lncRNA